ACAACGAAAUGAAGAGAGUAAUCUUGGCGGUACUACUGAUCGUUUCCCUGGUGGCGUCCACGGAAGCGGCAUGCAGUGCGUACAACAGCCGAAUACACAUUUGCUGCAAUGGAAAGCUCAGUUAAAAAUGUUCGGACAACGCAUGCUGCAAUGCUUCUCCUUAUAACACCGAUCACAGAUUUGCUGCAAUGGAAGGCUCAGUUACAAAGGUUCCAACAACGCAUGCUGCAAUACUUCUCCAUAUAACACCCGAACACAUAUUUGCUGCAAUGGAAGGCUCAGUUACAAAGGUUCGAACAAUUCGUGUAAUUAAAGCUAUGCAUACUUCUACCGUAUAUUCGCGAACAGUAAUAUACGUGGUUAUGUAUGGGUACUGGCGGAUUUCUCCAUAAACUGAACUGAUAUGAUUGAGUGCCACUUGUUCAUAUGCUUAUGAAAUGGUAAUGAAUUAUGUAUACUGCGAUGAGCAGAUUGAAUCUAUCUAUAUUUUAUUGUAUGGGAAUUUAUUUGUGAUUUUUCAAAUGACAAAAUGAAUCGUACCAUUUUGCGAGCAGUGCGUUAAUUUUUUUCUUUGGUUUAAUAAUUACGAUUCACUAGUUAUGUUGAAGCAAUGUUAGUAAGUAGAGUUGUUAAAAUCACUAUCAUAUCAUUAUGAUACUGAGAAAAUUAUAGCUAUAAAAUGUGAACACGUGUUUCUUAUAAUCUUACUAGUUUAAAUGAGAUGAUAUAAAUAAUUAAGAGCAAAGAUCGCGAGAAUUCGUGAUAUAUAUAUAUAUAUAUAUAUAUAUAUAUAUAUAAUAUAUAUAAUA